rnacentral:rRNA from 1 species
UGGGGAAUAUUGGACAAUGGGGGCAACCCUGAUCCAGCAAUGCCGCGUGUGUGAAGAAGGUCUUCGGAUUGUAAAGCACUUUCGACGGGGACGAUGAUGACGGUACCCGUAGAAGAAGCCCCGGCUAACUUCGUGCCAGCAGCCGCGGUAAUACGAAGGGGGCUAGCGUUGCUCGGAAUGACUGGGCGUAAAGGGCGUGUAGGCGGUUUACACAGUCAGAUGUGAAAUCCCCGGGCUUAACCUGGGAGCUGCAUUUGAUACGUGUAGACUAGAGUGUGAGAGAGGGUUGUGGAAUUCCCAGUGUAGAGGUGAAAUUCGUAGAUAUUGGGAAGAACACCGGUGGCGAAGGCGGCAACCUGGCUCAUUACUGACGCUGAGGCGCGAAAGCGUGGGGAGCAAACAGGAUUAGAU